rnacentral:rRNA from 1 species
UACGUAGGGUGCAAGCGUUGUCCGGAAUUAUUGGGCGUAAAGAGCUUGUAGGCGGUUUGUCGCGUCUGCUGUGAAAUUUCGGGGCUCAACCCCGAACUUGCAGUGGGUACGGGCAGAUUAGAGUGUGGUAGGGGAGACUGGAAUUCCUGGUGUAGCGGUGAAAUGCGCAGAUAUCAGGAGGAACACCGAUGGCGAAGGCAGGUCUCUGGGCCAUAACUGACGCUGAGAAGCGAAAAGCAUGGGGAGCGAACAGG